rnacentral:rRNA from 1 species
GUGACCUCGGAUCAUGU